AACUUAAGCAUAUCAAUAAGCGGAGGAAAAGAAACCAACAGGGAUUGCCUUAGUAACUGCGAGUGAAGCGGCAAAAGCUCAAAUUUGAAAUCUGGUACCUCUGGGUGCCCGAGUUGUAAUUUGGAGAGGCAACUUCGGAGGAGGCGCUGGCCUAAGUUCCUUGGAACAGGACGUCACAGAGGGUGAGAAUCCCGUGCUUGGCUGGCUGUCCUCCUUCAUGUGAAGUGUCUUCGACGAGUCGAGUUGUUUGGGAAUGCAGCUCAAAAUGGGUGGUAAACUCCAUCUAAGGCUAAAUAUUGGCGAGAGACCGAUAGCGCACAAGUAGAGUGAUCGAAAGAUGAAAAGCACUUUGAAAAGAGAGUUAAAAAGUACGUGAAAUUGUUGAAAGGGAAGCGCUUGAGACCAGACUCGGUGAUUGGUGAUCAGCGGUUGCUUUUGCUCCGUGCACUUGCCUUUUACUGGGCCAGCAUCAGUUGUGACGGUGGGAUAAAGACUCAGGGAAUGUGGCUCUCUUCGGGGAGUGUUAUAGCCUUGGGUGUAAUGCCGCCUGUUGCGACUGAGGACCGCGCUUCGGCUAGGAUGCUGGCAUAAUGGUCUUCAGCGACCCGUCUUGAAACACGGACCAAGGAGUCUAACAUCUAUGCGAGUGUUCGGGUGUAAAACCCCUACGCGUAAUGAAAGUGAACGGAGGUGGGAACUCUUCGGAGUGCACCAUCGACCGAUCCUGAUGUCUUCGGAUGGAUUUGAGUAGGAGCAUAGCUGUUGGGACCCGAAAGAUGGUGAACUAUGCCUGAAUAGGGUGAAGCCAGAGGAAACUCUGGUGGAGGCUCGCAGCGGUUCUGACGUGCAAAUCGAUCGUCAAAUUUGGGUAUAGGGGCGAAAGA
rnacentral:rRNA from 1 species